GACGUAGGGCGCGAGCGUUGUCCGGAUUUAUUGGGCGUAAAGAGCUCGUAGGCGGCUUGUUGCGUCGACCGUGAAAACCCGCGGCUUAACUGUGGGCUUGCGGUCGAUACGGGCGGGCUGGAGUUCGGUAGGGGAGACUGGAAUUCCUGGUGUAGCGGUGAAAUGCGCAGAUAUCAGGAGGAACACCGGUGGCGAAGGCGGCUCACUGGCCCGGUACUGACGCUGAGGUGCGAAAGCGCGGGGAGCAAACAGG
rnacentral:rRNA from 1 species